rnacentral:lncRNA from 1 species
GUAAGUUUAUUAUUUAAUUGUUACGAUAUAAAUAUUUUUCGCAAUGCUAUUUAAGUUACUUAAUUAUGCAAUUGGUAUUUAUUUAAUGUUAUUUGUAUAUAUUUUUUUUCUUCUUUUUGCAGCAUCGUUUGCAACUUGUCCCUGUCAGCCACGGGAAAAAGAUGAGGGAGUUGGCUGCAUUAGUGCCGGAUGAGCAGUGGUUUAGGGAUCGUGUGCAAGCGACCGGGUUGGCAGACCUCGCCAAGAUAGGGUAUGAACAUCUAG